AAGCCAGUUCCUGGCCCUGUUCUGGAAGGUUGCCAUGGCAACCCCUAAUUCCGAGAUGGCUGCACCGCUAGAAACCAGGAUUCAUGGCGCCACAAGCGUCCUCACUGUGCAGGCCUGAAGGCCCACCCAGCCACCCAUCCCGGCACUAAUCAAAGCAUUCCACCUUAGCCAUCAAAGUCGAUGAACACCUCUACCCUUGCGUCUUCUGCAGGAGAUGCCAAGGAAUUAAACGGGGCCCUUUUGCGGGCAGGAUCAGAAGGAAGGCUGAGCCAUAAAUGAGACUGGCUGAACACAACUGGAUGAGGAGGCCUGGAGUAGCCACAGAAGCUGCCCCCGCCGGAGCACCUCCAGUAAUAAGGUCCACAACGCCAAGCUUAAUGUCUCUGCAAAGAAACCUGUGAUGCGCAGGGUAUUUCAUUGUAAUAUCGAAUGGGGUAUUUGCAUGUCAUGGAUACUAGUUGUCCAGGAAAUCAAGGUACACUGGUAGGAGUUCUUCUCUUGGACACUAGAUGGCAGAUAGAGUCCUAAUAACAAGCGUGUGGAUUCCAAAUAUUGCACAUUUCCUGUUACCCAAGAAUUUUGGCCAAACAAGCAAGCAAAGACUGGUUGGAGGAAAGAAGGGCUCCCCUUCUAUAGAACUGGUAUAGCAUCUCUUUAGAAACUGUAGCCUUGGACACAGAUUUGAAACAUACUUUAGAUUUAUUUUGUGUGUCACUGAAACAAAUUGGUCCCCCCCCUAAAAUUGGUGCCAAACAGCAGUUGAGCGGGCUACUUUGUCUCUACUGACCCAGAAACAAUUAGGACAGAGGUGCUAAAGCAAACAGGCUUAGAUGCCAGCGAUUUAGCUACUUUAGCAGCCUCCCUAUCUGCACUGGGGUCAAAGCACCACCUGGUUCACCUGGAUGUAGGCCUUGCUUCCUCAGGAAUGCUUUAGGCAUUCAGAAGCCCUCCAUGCUAGUAAGAAGAGCUUCCAGUACAGCAAUACAGGAUAACUCACCCUUCCUUCUCUCUGCAACAUUAGGCAUUAUGCCAACAGGUUUGACUCCAGGAUUCCCCCAUGUGCAUUUGCCUGCAGUCUGAAUGUGUGAAGCCCUCACUAGAACUGACUUAGAUCUGGCUUUGUGACAUCACCAAGCAGCCCAAUUGGAUUUGUUAUGUGGUCUUAUCAGGAAGCCCAUUCAAACGGAAGGAAAUACUUCUUGCCCUUAUUCCCAUUUAUUUGGCUUUGUAGUAUUAUAAUCUGAUUGAGGCUGUGACAUGGCAUCUUCUGCAUGAUAUGUAACUGACUGGGAUCACCAGGGAGGAGAGCUGGUCUUGUGGUAGCAAGCAUGACUUGUCCCCUUAGCUAAGCAGGAUCCGCCCUGGUUGCAUAUGAAUGGGAGACUAGAAGUGUGAGCCCUGGAAGAUAUUCCCCUCAGGGGAUGGAGCCGCUCUGGGAAGAGCACAAGGUUCCAAGUUCCCUCCCUGGCAGCAUCUCCAAGAGAGGGCUGAGAGAGAUUCCUGCCUGCAACCCUGGAGAAGCCACUGCCAGUCUGUGUAAACAACACUGAGCUAGAUAGACCAGUGGUCUGACUCCGUAUAGGGCAGCUUCCUAUGUUCCUCCUGAGGAAGAACCCCCUCUUUAAACAAAAUGGUUCUAGAAUUGUAGAUUAGGGCAAGAAACAGCUGUGACCAAGUGGCAAAUAAUAUGCCAAAAAAGUGAGAGAGAGAAAAGAGAGGGGAAAGGCCAAAGGUAUUGCUGCCUGAGGUGGGGCACCAAAUAUUGGUUUGUCCCAUGUCCUCCAGCUGUUUUUCAAAAUCAUCCCUUGCAAGCUUUGAAAAUGCUGCCACGGGUUGUUAUUUAUUUAUAUACUGCUUCCCACCCCAAUUCUCAGUGGUUUACAUGGAACAUUUGUCAGCAGCUUCCUCUUCUCUUCUUGUGUUUCUUGCGAAUUUUGCAAGGAGUCUGCGUGGAGACGCUCCUUGCAAGGUUACGGUCGGUCCCAAAGUACUGCUCUGAUGGUGACAGUGGGAGGCAUUUUGCCCCCUGCUCUUGCCUCACUAAUCUGCUGCCUGCAGUGACGGCCUCACCUUGCCUCAUGAAAGGGCCGCCUCGGCUCCGAGGCAGCAGGAAGCUUCUUAAGGAGUCCUGGGGGGCUUUGUAACCAGGAGAAUAGGGCUGUGUGACACGCACAGUGUUGACCCGGAGCCUGACACCAUGCUGACUUAGCGCGAAGGCAGUGGGGAGAUUGUACCCCUUCUGGCCCAUGCUGUCUUGAGGGUUGAUUUCUGUGCACCUUGGCCCACAACAUUGGAGGUAACUCCUCUGGACUGCCCUCCUAUGAAGUUCUCCCCUCCUCCCCCCACAGGCUUUUCCUGGCUGUGCUGGCUGAUGCAGCUGUCAUCUGAGAAUGCCUUUGCCAACACUCCCUGUAACAGCCUCUCUCUGCUGGGAGUUCUGCGGCCUGGUGUUCAAUGACCAGCUGUGCUUUUACUAGACAAAGAUGAAGAUAAUUCAUGUCAUUCACAUUCACAAGAUCAACCUUGAGAACACAGCUUCCCCUGGCUUCCUGUCGGCUUCUAGGCACAAUUCACAUGCUGGGGUUAGCCUUUAAGGUCUGAUGUGGCUUGAGACCUGGCUGUCUAAAGGACCACCUGUCGAGUGCUGCUGGCGGGGGCGAAUAGGGGCAUCGCCCCGAGCACCUGCCAGUGCCUGUGGUGGGGAGAUUCUGGCCUGAAAUCGCCCCAGUGCGAGAGCACUGCAGGGCUGACUGAGUCCGAGGGCGGUGGCUGCAGUGGGCAGGAGUUGUAGCAGUGUGGAGAUUUCCCACUGCUGCCAGCAAUGCGCAACUCCUGCCUGUUGCAGUGGAUGCCCUCAAACCUCAAGAGCAUGAUGUGCUCUUCUCUGCAAACCAGAGUGGGCCAUGGGGUUGGCUCAGUUGGAGGGUGGCUCUGCAGGGUCUUUCCCAGACAUCAGGCUUUACUGCAGAAUUAAGAGGGGUGAAAUACUGUGAGUUACGGGGCAUAUCAGAUAUCUUGAAUUUGCCCCCAAACCUGAUGCAAAAAGUGGACAUUUUUAUCCCGGACAUAAAUGGGACUAAGCUGAAAAACCCAAAAUUUUGAUGUAAAUCUGGGUGAUAUGUGAAUGCGCACCUGCCUUUCCAAAGUAAAACUGCCACCUGGCAGAGCUCCUGGUGGGAGGUGGGAGAUCCCAGGCAGGAAUCUCUGUGCUGCCAGGAAUCCUCAUCUCCAUGCCAUCACCUCUCACCAGGGCUCUGCCACCAAUUUCCUCUGCCCUGAGCCCUGCACCUGUCUGCCUGUUCUUAGAGAUUCUGCCACUGGAGGACAGGUGUGGGGAAUUGGGGCUUUCUCUGUAGCCCGAUUCAACAUAACAUUUUUGCCUGUGUUCAGAUGUAUAUGAAAACACAUAUGUUCUUUUAUGUGAUUAUGUAUGUGACUUAUGUGCCUGUGUUCACAUGCCAUUUUAUAUUGUAAUUUCUAUAGGGAUGCCCGCUUAAGAUUUGCGUCCCCUUUGCUGCAACGUUCUCCUGGGCAUUUGGAUGACUUUUAUUUGAAGUAUUUACUGUCCAGUCUUAAUGACGACCUAAUUAGCAAAAUGGCUAGGUACUGUUAUAUCAUUUGCAACAUCCGCUUAGGUUUCCAAUAAUGUUUUGCUUUCUCUUUUCCGUGAUUCUUGUUCUAUCAAUGGAGGGUGCUCUGCUCUCUUUGGCUAUCAGGAAGAUCUGUCUGGAGUUCACCACAUCUGCCUUAAUUCUAACCUGUUAAUAUUGCGUUAUAAUCUGUGUGAUUUAUUCUGCUGAGUUUCUUGCAAGUAUGUAUGUUUUACUAAGCAUUGGUCUAUGACCGCAAUAAAGAAUGAUGGUGCCUGUAUUCAUUUUAAAGGUGAACCCCUAAAUGCAGGAUACAGAUAGAACUGUACUGCUGUACCUGCGUUCAACAUAAUGUGUGAAGAACUGUACCUGCAUACAGAACUGUACCUGUGCACACUGUACACAGACUGUGCAAGUGCUGAAUUAUAAUGUGCAAAUAGGAAUCGUGAUGGUGCCCUAACACUAAUGUUUUCUCCACAGCUGCUCAGCUAGUGCUUGGUUGGAUGAGUUUUAGGUACCAGACCAAAACUUUUAAAAUUAUUUCUCCAGGCUUUUACUCACUUCUUUAUUGGCUACUUUAUGGCAGGUGACUACACUUCUAGUUCCUAUUUUGUCUGUGCUUCUUAUUUGCUCUUUGUAUUUUUUUAAAUUUAAAUUUUUGGAGAAAAUCUAUUAACUAUUGUUGUUGUAACCAUACUGAAAGCUGCCCUGAGAUUUAUUUAUUUUUAAAAUAAGGAUGAGUAUACGUUUUCAAAAUAAAGCUACAGUAGUAUAAAUUAAAUUAGGGGGCUGAUUGGUAUGGAAGGCA